rnacentral:rRNA from 1 species
GACAGAGGGUGCAAACGUUGUUCGGAUUUACUGGGCGUAAAGCGCGCGUAGGCGGCCCGGUAAGUCCGCUCUGAAAGUCCAGGGCUCAACCCUGGAAUGCGGGUGGAUACUGCCGGGCUAGAGUCCGGAAGAGGCGAGUGGAAUCCUGGUGUAGCGGUGGAAUGCGCAGAUAUCAGGAGGAACACCGGUGGCGAAGGCGGUUCUCCUGGGCAUUACCUGACGCUGAGGAGCGAAAGUGUGGGGAGCGAACAGG